rnacentral:lncRNA from 1 species
CAUUACAGGUAGACUUCAGCCGAGCUUCUUCGUAAUCGGAUCCCGCGACAACCGAUCUUCGACCAAACUUCUGCAAUAAGCGGUCUCCUUUCAGCCUUCUACAAGAAUCAAACUUCGACCGAACUUCCAUAGCGGUUGGACAUUGGAUGAGCUUCUACGACGAUCGGGCUCCAGCAGCUAGAUUCCUACAAUGAUCGAUCGCC